UAAACAUGCCGACGUGUGCAGCAUGUGGUUGCAACAACAAGCAGCUUUCUGGCUGGGGGAAGACGUUUCACAGCGUCAUGUUCCAUAUAAAGGUGAUCAGCCUGUGGCCCCGCUGAGGUGUUAUGGAAGUCCAGGUUGCUUUGAUCGCAGCCUUAAGCUCUUCUGCAACGUUGGCUCUGAUGUUUCUCACCAUCCCAAAGAUUCUCUAUGGACUUUAGAUCAGAUGACUGUGCUGAGUUUGGACUUGAGAAAACUCAGUGGACCAACACCAACGGAUCCCAUAACUCCCCCUGUCAUUACUGAUUGACCUUCUGAGUUAAAGGAACACCUUGAUUUCCUAAUGAAACGCAAAAGAUUGCAUUCAUAUAAAAAGAAGACAACUGAGCAA